UAUAGAAGAUCUAUGGAUGGAUAUGUAUAUAUAUUCAUAUGGAUAUGAACGGAUACGAAUAUAUAUAUAUAUAUAUAUAUAUAUAUGCCAUAUAGACUACAGGGAUGUACCCAGAAUUAGAAAUAUACCCAAAUGACCUGGAUUAAAAAAAUAUCUAUUCUACACACACUGCUUAUCGGACACUUUUUGCUUCUUAUAUUAAAGCGCACUUGUAAACAAACAGAGAACUGAAUUUCAGCAUCAAGGCACAAAGAAAUAUCAGUCAAGAGCGGAGGCGUCCAUGUGUGAGGUUUCAUUUGCGAGGGGGAGGAGGUGGCGGUCAGCGCCGGGCCCAUGGCUCCUCCGGCAUUUAAUUAAAAGCAAACAUGGAGGAAUGUGGACGUGAACAGUCCUCCCCCCCUUACACACACACACACACAUACAGAGCAAUCACCCAGGAAGGAAAAACAAAGGACCCUCGCUGGAAGUAGCACGCCACCCCCGGCCCGAAUGAAUGGAAGGCUGCUACAAUAACUCUUUUUUUGCACACUCAUCACUCCUCAAUCAGCCUCCCGGCAGAGGAGGAGGAGCUUACCGGUAAAUUGCAGGAGUUCUUCGUCCUCUGCCCGACAGCAGGGGUUUCCAAUCAAACCCGUCGCCUGCUUCAGGAAGGCAUCUGAUUGGAAGAGGCCUGACUCAGCAUUGUUAUCGCUGUCUGGGGUUUGUUUUGGGGGUUUUUUUUUCUUCCCCGUUUUAUACCAGGUUCCCAAACAAAAACUUUCUUCACACGACCUGAAAUGCAAAACGAACCUUAAGAGCUUCCCAAGCUUCCUUCAUGAGACAAAACCACAAAAACGCUGCGUAAUUCCGAAUGGCAGAAAUGAGAACAGCGUUCACUUCAGAAGCGUUUCAGAUUGCAUCCAAAGUUAAAGAUUUUCUUGAAGUUAGUACACCAGAUGUCUGCGUGUCCCAGACAUCUGUCUGUGAGCUCCCUGGUUGCCAAUUUAACGACCCUCAUUUGCCGCACCACCAGCAGAGACCAAUGAGGCGUACAGACACAAAAGAGUGCAACUCGCUGCCAGGCUCGCAGUCCUUCUCUUUGGGGCCUCUGUGCUUGAAUACAGGCCUCGUUUGCCAGCUCCCAUCAUGCAGCAGAGGGCAAAAUGUCCCCAGACAGACUCAAUGGGCAUACUGUGCUCUAGAUGAAACGGCCAUGAAGCCACGAUAAGGCCCCCGACUCCAAGUUUACUCCAUUUUCUCCCGCUGUUGCGAAAUCCAGUUUGAAAACAUUCGUUCAUCUUCAGGCUGGUUCUGGGAUCCGAAGACUAUCCCGGGAACGCUGCGCUCGAGGUAGCGAUACACUCCGUCCAGCAUGCACAGAAGCCUAGGAGCCAGCUGUCUUAGCCAAUCCAGGACAGAGGAAGCUGGAGAAAAGUUGCGCAGACUGACGUUAACCCGAGCUCGCUGUCGAACCACGGACCCUGGAGCUACAACUAGGAAACUGCUAACGCUAACCUAUAAUAAAAAUAAAUGGCUCCAUCCUGGACACAAUAGGUGUUAAAGCUGUCAAAUCCCCAUUAAGAAUACAGUGCGUGAGGCAGAGCUAUACGACGGAUCCGAAUCGACGAUAUCCCGUGCCCGGGAACGACAUUAAACAUCUUGCAGUGCCAGCUCGGAAUAGGAGCACCAUUUAUUAUAUAAGCUCAUUACAGAGAGGCCAUCAGAUGGAUAGGAAAAGGAGAUCAAAUGAGAUCUCGGCCGUCUGUACGAUCACAUGCAGAGCACGGAUGGUUCAGGCCUGCCGCUUUGCUCUCCCAAGAAUUAAUCAGCGAGACAGUCUGUGUUCCCAGCAGCGUAAUAUGUUAAGCUGUAUAAAAUCCGCUUCCUCUUCUUCCUCUCUUCAGACGAAAGUAGAAAGGGCUUUGACGCUGGAAAGAAACUCGGGAAACACAGGAGCUAGAGACCGACAGCUGAGAUUCGCGCUAUACACCUAGACCCUAAAAAGUGGUGAUUCAAUCGGACGCACAUAUGAUACGCGCAUAAUAUAAUAUACCCGGACUUCCUGUUCACGUCUAUCGCGCCACGAGGCACAGUUCCCUCCGAAACUACUGGAACGGCAGGGCCGGUUCAUUUAUUUAUUUCUGUAGACUGAAGACGUUGGGGUUUGAGAUCGUCACCCCGUCGUUUAUUUGCUGAUAUUUAUAUGCGGACGUGAGAAAAUGAGAAAAACGCGAGCCAUUUUGAAGCUGGGAAAAGAGGGGAAAUCUAAAAGAGGCAUUAAGCGUAGCCGAUACAACGAUUUGGGACGUCCUGAAAAAGAAAGAAACCACUGGUGUACUGAGCGACGGACACAAAAUGGGUCACAACAGAAACGUUGUGAGAAAACCCCCAAAAACAACAGUCAGUGACAUCACCAGCAACCUCCACAGGGCAGGGGUGAAGGUACAGGACCACAAUCCACUGUUUGAAGAAGACUUCGAGAGCAGAAUUAUAGAGGACGCACAAGAUGCAGUCCACUCAUCAGCAGGAAGAGUCAGAAAGCCAGAUUGGAAUUCCCAAAGAAAUACAGAGAGAAAGUUCUGGAACCGAGAUGAACCUCUAGCAAAGAGAUGGAAAGGACAAAGUGUGGAGAAAGAAAGGAUCUGCUCAUGAUCCGAAACGUACAAGCUCAUCUGUGAAACAUGGUGGAGGUAGCGUCAUGGCUUGGGAUCGCGCGUCUGCUUCUGGAACAUUCUCACUCAUCUUUAUUGACGAUGUAACUCAUGAGGGUAGCAGCAGAAUAAAUUCAGAAGUCCACAGAAACAAGCUGUCUUCCAAUUAUUCCAAGUAUUACUGCAUGAACUUCAUCAUGCAGCAAGACAAUGAUCUAAACCUCACUGACGACUCAACAAAGGACUUUAAAAAAGCCUGGAAAGGCAUAAUGAAAGAAAAACCCAACAGUUUGGUGAUGUCAAUGAGCCGCGCUUGAUGCAGUUAUUGCACGCGAGGGAAAUUCAACCAAAUAUUAAAUGUCAUUUACUUUAAUGUACUUCAAGACUGGUCUGUUCCUAUACUUUUGCACACCUACAAAUUGGAUGGACGGAUACGAACCGUUCUACGUUUUACGUUGUUUAACACGUCUAGAUGUAAACACCAGGAAAUAAAAGCUGGAAUCUCGUCUCGUGCCCAUCGUUUGAUCUCGAACCCGAACGUCUUUGGUAUGGAAGUAUUUUCUAAACUGAUUGCGAAUGGUAUUGUGUCGUACGCAGACCCGGCCAAAAUACAAACGGAGCUGCAACUCCCUUUGCAUUUGCAUUUGCGAUGCCUUGCACAGAAACCUGUCAGUGUUGAGGCUGGGGGUUUAGUAAUGGGGUGUGUUGGUAUUUGGAAGUGAUGCGAGUCACCGUCGACGCCCGAGAAGGAGAACGUGCUGAUUGAAGGCAGAGUGUAGAAUUUGUGAGGUAAAGAUGUCACAUCGAGCAGGGUCUGUUAACGACCUUCACAGGCAUACUGGAAUUAUCCAUCUAGAUUUGCACAUCGUAAUGUGUGUUGUUUUUUUUAUUUGUUAUAUGGCACGCCGUGGUCCGUUUCUGAAUGGAAUUUGUUUGGAAUGGUUUGUGUUUUGGACGGUUCGAUAUAAAUAAAGUGUUCAAUACACGUGUAAUAGUGUUUGACGUUUUUUUACGUUAUUUAAGGUUUUUAUACCAUCCAUAAUGUAAAACUGUGGUAUUUGAGAAACUGUAAGGCUCCGUAUAAUUACGCUCAGCAAUCCAAGUGAUAUACGUGCACACAUACCAAUCAUAGGUCGAAACAUUUGCUACGUUUGGCUGAAUUAUAAAAGCAAGAAGUGGUACUAAAUGAUGAGCUGUUUGGGAGCCGAAAGAGCUGGGCUGAGCUGGGCCAAAUGAUCUGGCUCAAUGAAAACUUCUUGGCCGUUGUCCGCAAGGCGCUCUGAAAUGCGGUCGACUGUGAGUUUGGACGUUACGUCGAAAUACAAACACGUCCUCCCACAUAUACUCCCACCGCCAACACUGAUUCGGUUUCUGUGCGAGGCAUUGGAAAUGCACAUGCGAAAGGGAGUUGCGAUUCCAUUAGAAUUUUGGCAGGCUGCAUACGUCACGCCGAGGACGUGAAAUCGCAAACGGGGUAAUUGCUAUUGCUAUUUCGAUAUGACAGGCUCAUAACUCGUAAGACAUGGGAAAAAUGGACUUUGCUUUUCCGUUUGAAACUUGGCAGACAUUGUACGUCCGUGUAAAUGAAAAUGCAACGGGUAAUGCGCGAUUUGAAUUUAGGAAACGCGACCGCAGGUACAAUUCGCAAUUAGUUUUGAAAAUAGUCCGUAAAACACUUCCAUACUUUGGGCUACAACACAAGCACAUGGAUUGGCCUUUCCAUUCCAAUAGUUUCGGAGGGGACUAUAUAAGAGUUCACAUUUGAAACAUUAAACAAUUCAUACUAGCAAGUACCGAAUUUACAGUAUGACAUAAUAAAGAAUUGACAUUACGAAGUAAUAAAGAAUUGACACUGAGUUAAUCAAGAAUUUACACUAUACGGUAAUACAAAUUAAUACUAUGAGAUAUUAAAGAAUUUAAACUAUGAGGUAAUAAAGAAUUGGCACUAUGAGAUAAUACACAGUUUACGGUAUGAGGUAAUAAGCAACCUACACUAUGAGAUAAAGAAUUUACUCUAUGAGAUAAUAAAGAAUUGGCACUGUGAGGUAAUAAACAAACUACACUAUGAGAUAUUAAACAAUUGACACUAUGAGUUAAUGAACAAUUGACACUAUGAGUUUAUUAAAAAGUUGCACUUAGAGGUAAUAAAGAGCUGACACUAUGAGAUAUUAAAUAAUUUAAACUAUGAGGUAAUAAAGAAUUUACACUAUAAGGUAUUGAAAAUGUACACUAUGAGGUAAUAGAACGUAUCUAUGAGGUAGUGAACACUAUGAGGUAAUAGAACGCAUCUAUGAGGUAGUGAACACUAUGAGGUAAUAGAACGCAUCUAUGAGGUAGUGAACACUAUGAGGUAAUAGAACGCAUCUAUGAGGUAGUGAACACUGAGGUAAUAGAACGCAUCUAUGAGGUAGUGAACACUAUGAGGUAAUAGAACGCAUCUAUGAGGUAGUGAACACUGAGGUAAUAAAACGCAUCUAUGAGGUAGUGAACACUAUGAGGUAAUAGAACGUAUCUAUGAGGUAGUGAACACUGAGGUAAUAGAACGCAUCUAUGAGGUAGUGAACACUAUGAGGUAAUAGAACGCAUCUAUGAGGUAGUGAACACUAUGAGGUAAUAGAACGCAUCUAUGAGGUAGUGAACACUAUGAGGUAAUAGAACGCAUCUAUGAGGUAGUGAACACUAUGAGGUAAUAGAACGCAUCUAUGAGGUAGUGAACACUGAGGUAAUAAAACGCAUCUAUGAGGUAGUGAACACUAUGAGGUAAUAGAACGCAUCUAUGAGGUAGUGAACACUAUGAGGUAAUAGAACGCAUCUAUGAGGUAGUGAACACUAUGAGGUAGUACAGAUCUAUAAUAGCUAUACUACAGAAGAUCUAUAACAGAUGAGCAUGAUGAUGUCAUAACUGUGUAAUUACACUGCUGUAGUCACUAGUGUCAAUGCUAAAAUAUCAAAUAAAUACCUGAACGUACCAUAUGGAGAAUUAAAAUGGACACUGAACAUCACAAAGGUUCAAUGUUAACUUCUUCUCCAACCUUUUCUCUUCAAAAAAAAAAAUCAACCUAAUUUCUUCUGUCCCCGACAUAGAUAUUUUUUGUAUUUUCACGACUAUUUUAGGCUAAACACAAGCUAGUGUCUGUAGUUAAGGUAACCCUUUAAACGAGCCCACAUUAUCGCGAUGUACUUUCGCCUCGCUGAAAGAGGUUUCAUAACAAAACACUGGCUUUCUGUUAGCGCCUUUUUUUCCUCUGCCGAGACAUCUGAGAUGACACUUGAGCGCCAGUUUUCUAACAGAAUAUAAAUCAACCUACAGAAACGUUCCCGAUCGGGCAUGAGGUCUGCGGCUCGCCUCGCCGUAUCCUCCCGUUCCUCUGUCAUUUCGCUUCAUGUCUCGCUCUGCAGCUGACUGACGACAAAUAACACCAUUUGUUUAUUUUUACUGCAUGCGCAACUGGAUUGGACCCUUUUUUUUUUGUUGUUGCAUUGCCAGAGGUUAAACAUUCAAGUGGAGUGAAUAGGCAUUAAUGACACUGUUCAGUUCAACAGAUCGGACCACCUGAAAAAAACUGAUCACCAACUUGUCCCUAUGUGGUGUGUUACCUGCCCUGGGCAUUCAGCCGAUCGUUACUCUCGAACCCUGACCAUUCCCAUUAUUAUCGAGAUGAUAUUCAGGAUCAUACAAUAAACCCAUCACUGCAAUACUGUUCUGUGACAUCCAUACCAGGUUUAAAAUAUAAUCGAAAAAUCUCUGAAACACCCCUGCCCUACUUCCAGGGUGAAAUAAACCCAGUGACAUGGCGACCGUAAAAAAGCACCAUUUUGGCUGUCAGACCGUUCCCGAAUAAUUUAACCACCAUCACUUUAUUUCCAGUCCAAUUAGGCUCACCGAUGGCGUAUGCGAUGCGAUAUAAACGCACGGUCUCGACAUACAGAUGGCCUGAAUACAGAGUUCAUACUGCAGAGCACAACCGGGUUAAAUACGCCUGCGCGUCAACAACGACCGAUCGAUUUCUUUUAUUAUGCAGCACGGAUCAAUCAACCCACAAGCAGCCUCGGUAUAAAAGAGACGUCCGGUGUGCGAAUCGAGUGUCCGCGGCGUAUCGGAACAAGCCAAGGAUCUACGUGAUAGAUUACUAGUAAGAUAGCUGAUUGUUAUCAAAACUGUUAAUGAGUUAUAGCGGUGCGUUGAGUUGAAGUUCUGCUAACAGCAGUGGUGCUGUUGUGGUCUGUGGGGUUGAGGAAUUGAUCGAUCGGCCCUGAAUCAGCCCGAGGUGGUCCGAAUAAGACAAAAUGACCGGCGUGUAGGUGAACAUCUGUGAACGGUGGAGCGACGCGCCAGUUAAACGUGUUCGUUUAUUACCACUCAGUUGCUGCAUGAGGAAAAACAUUAAGUACGAAAAAAAGAUUCUUCCCUAUUCUGUGACGACGGAGACUCGCACACGUACGUACACCGGCCGACCGACGGAUCGAUCCGAAGCCCCGAGGAAACAUGUUAGCGUUACUGAUGCUGAUGUAUCACAAAAUGGACAACUUUUUUUUUUUCCCUUCUUUCAGCUGGCUCGCGAAAGGGAAGGUCUAGUGUUUUAUCUGGGAGCACGCUAAUUAGAUAAGUGAAAGUGCAGCAUCAAUAAAGCUAAAAUACAGAAUGAGAUUACCAUAACCCACAUCUGUCCACUGCUCUACACGCUCUACGCGUUAUCGGACACGGGAUCUAGAGGUCCCGAUUGAAGGUUUCUACCGAUCGCAGACACGGUUACUGCUGCAAAAGAAUCACGUACUGUAUAUGAAAAUUUACUACCACAUAACAACAGUAAAAUCCAGAUCGCUCCUGCGCUCGGGUGCGCGCUGGAUUAUUAAUGCCUGACUCGUUCGCAGGACCGCGGAUGUCACCAUGGUAACCAAGCUCAGGUGCGAUUGUGAACUAUGACGUCACCUUAACUGAGGGUUUCAGACCAAAACACAAAGACCGAGCAGUGAUACAAAUUCUGAUCUUCUCUUUUUAGAAAUAUCUAGAAGGAAUAUUAUUUGCUUUGAAGUGGGGGGGGGGUAAUUCUAUUCAGUGUAAUAAUGAUGGAGAUGGAGAAAAAUUCUGCUCUGUGAAUUAUUUAGUAAUUACAGUGGAACUAACAGGAAGUAUAGUCGUAAGAUGCGUUCACAUCUGGAGUCCUGGGAUCAACUGAAGGGGAGUAACAUCCUGAAAUCCCCAAAUCAAGGCUUCGUUCUUGUGUUUGCUAGCCGUAUUAUUGAACGAUGCCGCAUUUCCGACAUGCUUAAGCACUUACUGGGGUCUACGGCUACGCCAGGCAUCGCUACGAUGUAAUCAGAGGCCUUCGUUUACAGCGACGAUAUUUAUACGUUCAUUUCCAGUGCCUGCUCGGUCCUGGUCGGGUGUGAGGACGUCCCGGCACGCACGCGAGUCCGGCGCACAGCAUCGUGGACACACGCUUUCGCAUACAGGGGUUCUUUCGAGUCACCAGUCUGCCUACUGCUACGUUUCGGGAAGCUGGAAGGAAAGCAGAGAACCCUGAGGAAACAGACGCUGACCUGAGACCGGGAUCGAAGCUGCCGUGCCGCCCGCAAACUUUUCACCCUUCGUGGCAAAGGUGUGAUACUUGAAUUUUUAUUCCUUAUUUGUAGAAAUAACCGGGAGGGUACAUCGAACGUGAUGAAACACAAUGGAUUACGCUGAGGCCUUAGCAAAGGUGUAUUGAGUCGCUGAGGAAAAGCGUUCGGAAAUCUGACGUCUGGCUUGGACUGCUUGUUUGUGUUUGUAUACGCCUCCUGUCAGUCAUUUUACAGACGCUCAACUCCGUCUUACUUAAUGCACAUUAAAAUCCCCGUGAAGAGUCUUGAAACGCACAGCCUUAUUCGACGUGCUGAUGUAAUUUCCACCGAAAUGACUGAAUCUCGAGCGGCUCCUCCCCCCUUUCUAAACAGCCAAUAGCGUUUUGCUUACCUCACAGCCCGGGCUAAAUCUGAAUAGAAAACAGACACGUGCUCGCCGAUAUGAUUCCUCUCGCUCAACGACGGCAACUUCGGCAAUUAUUUAUAAGGUUGUGGGCGGGACAAGCUGAAGUGCAGAACGACGUCAUGGAAACCGUUGAUGCGUAUUGAUGUUAGAGUGAAACUGUACGUUCUGAGUGCGUAUAUCUUCUAAAUACGGGUUUAGUCGUCGUUCUGGAGCGCACUAGCUCAUAGAUAACCGUAGCGCUGACUCAUAUCCGUACUAAAAGCCGCAAAAUUCCCUAUUUCAAGAGGAUUUUUAACAAAGUAAGGUACGGUAUUUCAUCCUCGACGCAAGCCAAGAAUCGACGCGUGCACCGGCGCCAAACUGAUCCGAUCUGAUUUAAGUCUCUUACGGUCUCCUGUUCCUUGCAUUCAUAACGAUUUCGUUGCAUUUGAUCACGACAGCACCACGACGUUGUACCGCCUGUACCGCGGAAAUAUAUCAAGAAGUGUCGCCCAGAACAGGACGGUGAGUCAGGGCGCUCUCGCGGCUUCGUCCUCAUGAUGUCUCAGGGAGUUUUUCCCUCGCCGCCGUCGCUCGUUAAGUUUCCAGAUCUACUUCCUGCGCUGUGAGCAUGUCCGGUGCUAAAAGCACUAUCUAAAAAAAAAAUGAACCGGACUGGAAGUGCGAGUGAUUUCCGGCGGUUGAGAAGAUUCGAGGGAGGUUAUCAGGUUACCCAGAGUGCAUCCUUUUCUCUGUGAAACGCUGAAGGUGUGCAUGGUGCUAGACUUUCAUUUAAAAUAGGUAAAUAUUCACCAUUCGGUCUUCUUAUCCGGCCGAACCAGGUUCGGCGGGCUGUGAAACCAGCUCUGGGCCUGUUUCCGUGAGUGCACAUGGUCAAGUAGACAUGAUGAUGGUGAUGAUGGUGAUGGUGAUGAUGGUGCUUUAAGGCUAAGCUUGGAGAGAACAUAUAUAUACACACAUAUAUAUAUAUAUAUAUAUGUUCUCUCCAAGAACAUC
ensembl:lncRNA